rnacentral:rRNA from 1 species
AAUGUCUGUCCAAGCAGUAAGUCUUGAUAGGAGUCAAAUGCUUCUAACUUUAAGGACAAGCUGUGAUGGGGAGGGAAAUAAUAGUACCGAAGUUCCUGACGUCACACUGCCGAGAAAAGCUUCUAGUGAGAAAACAACGACCCGUACCGCAAACCGACACAGGUAGUCGAGGAGAGAAUCCUAAGGUGUGCGAGAGAACUCUCGUUAAGGAACUCGGCAAAAUGACCCCGUAACUUCGGGAGAAGGGGUGCUCUGGUAGGGUCAAAGCCCGAGAGAGCCGCAGUGAAUAGGCCCAGGCGACUGUUUAGCAAAAACACAGGUCUCUGCAAAACCGUAAGGUGACGUAUAGGGGCUGACGCCUGCCCGGUGCUGGAAGGUUAAGAGGAGCGGUUAGCGCAAGCGAAGCUGUGAAUUGAAGCCCCAGUAAACGGCGGC